AUAUUACUUCUUCGGUCCAACAAAAGAUGUCUCAAAUUUGUCAAAAUUUGGAUGUAUCUAGAUAUGACUCAGUGUACAGAUGCAUUCAAAUUUAAUCAAAAAUUGAGACAUCCUUCGCAGCAGAGGAAGUAGAAA
rnacentral:pre_miRNA from 1 species